UACGUAGGGGGCAAGCGUUGUCCAGAUUUAUUGGGCGUAAAGAGCGUGUAGGCGGCCGUACAGGUCAGCUGUGAAAACUCGAGGCUCAACCUCGAGACGUCGGUUGAAACCGUACGGCUAGAGUCCGGAAGAGGAGAGUGGAAUUCCCGGUGUAGCGGUGAAAUGCGCAGAUAUCGGGAAGAACACCCGUGGCGAAGGCGGCUCUCUGGGACGGUACUGACGCUGAGACGCGAAAGCGUGGGGAGCGAACAGG
rnacentral:rRNA from 1 species